rnacentral:rRNA from 1 species
UGAGAGUUUGAUCAUGGCUCAGGAUGAACGCUGGCGGUAUGCUUUACACAUGCAAGUCGAACGCAAGUUUUUAACUUGAGUGGCGGACGGGUGAGUAACACGUGAGAAUUCGCCUUUAGGCGGGGAAUAACCAUCGGAAACAAUGGCUAAUGCCCCUCGCAAGAGUGAAAGGAGUAAUCCACCCAAAGAGAAGCUCGCGGCGCAUUAGCUAGUUGGUGAGGUAACGGCUCACCAAGGCGACGAUGCGUAGCCGACCUGAGAGGGUGAUCGGCCACACUGGGACUGAGACACGGCCCAGACUCCUACGGGAGGCAGCAGUAGGGAAUCUUCCACAAUGGACGAAAGUCUGAUGGAGCAACGCCGCGUGAGCGAUGAAGGCCUUAGGGUUGUAAAGCUCUUUCGGCGGGGACGAUGAUGACGGUACCCGCAGAAGAAGCCCCGGCUAACUUCGUGCCAGCAGCCGCGGU